rnacentral:snRNA from 1 species
GUGCCUAUUUCACAGCAGCACAUACUAAAAUUGGCACAAUACAAAGAAGACUAGCAGGAUGUUGACAUGCAAAUUCAUGAAGUAUGCUAUACUUUG